AUUAUUUUCCUCAGUCCAAUUGUUUAUAGCCAGAGAAUAUCACAUGAAGCAAAUCUGAAAUUCAUACCAUAUUUGAAUGAACACAAAUGUAUUGUUUUGCAUACAGAAGUCAAGCAAGACAGAUGAAUAAACAGACUUAGAUAAUCAGAAACUACAUGUGCUUACUAAUAUGAUAUAAAGGAUCCAUCUUAAUUAGUAGGAAAGAAUGGUUUAAUCAUUGGGAAGGGGAAUGGCAUAAUUUGUUGAUUAUUUGGAAAAGAUAAAGCUUUCUUCCUACCUCAUAAUAUUUAUUUAAAAAUUGCAGAUGGAUUAAAGUGUUAUAAAGAACACAGUUUUAAAGUCAUAAAACAAGUACAGAUGAAAAUACAUCAUUUCUUGGUAGAAAAGCAAACAAUUAAAAACAGAAUUGUUAAUAAAUUCAAGUACAUAAAAACAAAAAUGAUUCUCAUAAAUUAUCAAAAAUAAAUUAUGGUAAACUAGUGAAAAUAAUUUUAAAAUAAAGUAAAAAUAAAGAACAACUGUUAUUUAUGAAAAUUAUUAUAAAUUAAUAAGAUACAUUAAUAAGGAAUAUUGAUACAAGAAAAUAGGCAACUUAUACAAAUUAUGAACAAUAUAAGAAAACAUUUGCAUCACAAUUAUCAAAGAAGUAUAUUAAAAUGUCAAUAAUAAAUGAUUUUUCAUGCAUAACAUUCGCACAAGUAAACAAAAAGGUAAUUUAAAGGAAUAUAUUCUAAGAAAACAUUUUAAGCUAUUAAAAAAGAUUUAUGCUCAUUUUUUCUUCUUUGUAACAUAAAAAUAUUCAGCAAUAGGCUGAGCAUGGUGGCUCAUGCCUGUAAUCCCAACGUUUUGGAAGGCCAGAAUGAGAGUGUUGCUUGAGGUCAGGAGUUUGAAAUCAGCCUGCAGAACAUAGUGAGAUCCUGUCUCUAAGAAAUUAAAUAAGUACAUAUAUAUUAAAUUAAGAAAUUAAAUAUAUAUAUAUGAAUAUAUGAGUUUCAUGCAUUCAGCAGUGGAAGU
rnacentral:lncRNA from 10 species